rnacentral:lncRNA from 1 species
AUGGAUGCACAAGGAGAUCACAGGAAGAUUCCUUUGGGAGCCCCCACGACCUGGACAAACACAGAUGCAUCCCUGUGCUCUUUUGAGUACAGGGACUGCUCUCUGUAUCUCUACGUGGCUUUUUUACGUAUAAAUUUCACUGGUUGUCCUUACAGCAGGACAGCAGGCUGCUCUUCCUUGACCAGCUCAGCUGUAUCAUGGUGUUUGGAAUGCCUGUGCAAUUCUGUUGAAACUGAAAUCUGGUAGCUCAAGUAUGCAUUCAAACUUGAUUCAUCUUUGGUGCAUCUGUUUUCUGGUGACUCUGACUUGGCAGCAGUAUUCUAUACAGAAGCAAAGUCUCAGGGCUUCCAGGUACAAUAAAUGAUCCUCAGUGGAGAGUUUGUGCA